rnacentral:rRNA from 1 species
GAAAUGCGAUAAGUAAUGUGAAUUGCAGAAUUCAGUGAAUCAUCGAAUCUUUGAACGCAUCUUGCGCUCCUUGGUAUUCCGAGGAGCAUGCCUGUUUGAGUGUCAUUAAGUAUCUCAAAAAAUAUUAUGCCUUGGCAUAGGUUUUUUGGACAUUGGGAGUUGCCGGCUGCUAGCAGUGGGCUCUUCUGAAAAGCAUUAGUUGAGGAGCUUUGCACUCUAUUGGUGUGAUAGACUAUCUAUGCCAUGAGAUGCUUUAUGGGAACCUCUGCUGUCUAACUGUCUUUUAUCGGACAAUGUGAUGAACUUGACCUCAAAUCAGGUAGGACUACCCGCUGAACUUAA